UUUACCAGCGAGUGGCGGACGGGUGAGUAACACGUAGGUAACCUGCCCCAAAGCGGGGGAUAACAUUUGGAAACAGAUGCUAAUACCGCAUAACAAUUUGAAUCGCAUGAUUCAAAUUUAAAAGAUGGUUUCGGCUAUCACUUUGGGAUGGACCUGCGGCGCAUUAGCUUGUUGGUAGGGUAACGGCCUACCAAGGCUGUGAUGCGUAGCCGAGUUGAGAGACUGAUCGGCCACAAUGGAACUGAGACACGGUCCAUACUCCUACGGGAGGCAGCAGUAGGGAAUCUUCCACAAUGGGCGCAAGCCUGAUGGAGCAACACCGCGUGAGUGAAGAAGGGUUUCGGCUCGUAAAGCUCUGUUGUUAGAGAAGAACGUGCGUGAGAGCAACUGUUCACGCAGUGACGGUAUCUAACCAGAAAGUCACGGCUAACUACGUGCCAGCAGCCGCGGUAAUACGUAGGUGGCAAGCGUUAUCCGGAUUUAUUGGGCGUAAAGCGAGCGCAGGCGGUUUGAUAAGUCUGAUGUGAAAGCCUUUGGCUUAACCAAAGAAGUGCAUCGGAAACUGUCAGACUUGAGUGCAGAAGAGGACAGUGGAACUCCAUGUGUAGCGGUGGAAUGCGUAGAUAUAUGGAAGAACACCAGUGGCGAAGGCGGCUGUCUGGUCUGCAACUGACGCUGAGGCUCGAAAGCAUGGGUAGCGAACAGGGAUUAGAUACCCUGGUAGUCCAUGCCGUAAACCAAUGAGUGCUAGGUGUUGGGAGGGUUUCCGCCC
rnacentral:rRNA from 1 species